rnacentral:rRNA from 1 species
GACGAACGCUGGCGGCGUGCCUAAUACAUGCAAGUCGAGCGGACGAAUCGAAAGCUUGCUUUUGAUUCGUUAGCGGCGGACGGGUGAGUAACACGUGGGCAACCUGCCCUGUAGACGGGGAUAACACCGAGAAAUCGGUGCUAAUACCGGAUAACACGAAAUGUCGCAUGACGUUUCGUUGAAAGACGGCGCAAGCUGCCGCUACAGGAUGGGCCCGCGGCGCAUUAGCUAGUUGGUGAGGUAACGGCUCACCAAGGCGACGAUACGUAGCCGACCUGAGAGGGUGAUCGGCCACACUGGGACUGAGACACGGCCCAGACUCCUACGGGAGGCAGCAGUAGGGAAGCUUCCGCAAUGGACGAAAGUCUGACGGAGCAACGCCGCGUGAGCGAAGAAGGCCUUCGGGUCGUAAAGCUCUGUUGUUAGGGAAGAACAAGUAACGCAGUAACUGGCGUUACCGUGACGGUACCUAACGAGAAAGCCACGGCUAACUACGUG